UCUUGUGGUUGGUGGUGCAUGGCCGUUCUUAGUUGGGGAGUGAUUUGUCUGGUUAAUUCCGAUAACGAACGAGACCUUAACCUGCUAAAUAGACCAGCCGGCUUUGGCUAGCUGCUGUCUUCUUAGAGGGACUAUCAGCGUUUAGCUGAUGGAAGUUUGAGGCAAUAACAGGUCUGUGAUGCCCUUAGAUGUUCUGGGCCGCACGCGCGCUACACUGACAGAGCCAGCGAGUCUACCACCUUUGCCGGAAGGCAUGGGUAAUCUUGUGAAACUCUGUCGUGAUGGGGAUAGAACAUUGCAAUUAUUGUUCUUCAACGAGGAAUACCUAGUAAGCGUGAUUCAUCAGAUCGCGUUGAUUACGUCCCUGCCCUUUGUACACACCGCCCGUCGCUACUACCGAUUGAAUGGCUUAGUGAGGCCUCCGGAUUGGCUAUUGGGAGCUCGCGAGAGCACCCGACUGCCGAGAAGUUGUACGAACUUGGUCAUUUAGAGGAAGUAAAAGUCGUAACAAGCUUC
rnacentral:rRNA from 2 species